UCUAUCAGUCGGCUAUCGCUCUGCAUUUUUUGCAGAGAGGAAAGUCCGGACAGCGUAGGGCAAUACACCGGUUAACGGCCGGCUUCUUUGUAAAAAAAGAAAGAAAAAGUGCCACAGAAAAUAACCGCUUUGUGCAAACAAAGUAAGGGUGAAAAUGUGCGGUAAAAGCGCACAAUUGGUGUUAGUAAUAAUGCCAGUGGGUAAACUUUGUAUGCUGUAAUGCCACAUAUACCAUUGGUUUUGCUUAGGCAAAAGGCAAGUGGCUCGCAGGUUUUCUAAUUUUAUUAGAAACAAUGGAGGGUAGGCAGCAAGAUUGUAAUAGCAAUAUUGCAACUAGAUAAAUGAUAGCCUUUUGUAGCUUGCUACAAAAACAGAAUCCGGCUUAUGACUGAUAGAUUUU
rnacentral:RNase_P_RNA from 1 species